rnacentral:lncRNA from 1 species
GAAUAAACACUACGUUAGUGUUUGUUAGACGUCGAUCACUUGACGACCAUCCUUUGUCUUGGCACUCGUUCAGAUUAUCCAUCUUCGGGUUCGUCCAUCAGCAUCACCUUGAAAUUAAUCCAGCUCUUGUCCUUCACAUCACGUGAUCAACUAGCGUACCUCAUGAGAUGCACGAUGCACAUGUAUGAGCACGAGUAUAAAUAGCAUAAGAUGGAUAAUCUACACCGAAGAUGAUGAAACACUUAUAACAAGCGUUAAGCAAAUACUAGCUAGCGAUAUAAGACUAAGUAUAAUAAUUAACAUCGACAGACUUAUUGAUAAUUGCUUAAAGCACUAAAUUUAACUUGUGCACCACCGAUAUACCAUACACUGCAAAAUUAGAAUUAGUUUAAUCAUGCUUGACAAAUAUACCCACCGAAACUCUAUUCCCAUAACCUAUAUCUCAAACUGGCGAUUUACCACACGACAUCGACCAAAUUGCUGCAAGCGAUUCGGGCAGUAAAUAUUAUACCUACAAUCACAACGCACAUAUAUUACUGGCAAGAGGACCGACGUAACUAAUAUAUCCAUUAAUCUAUCUAUCUAUCCCAUAGCAAAAAGUAUAAAAUUAGCUUACCAGUAUCAAACGUGACUCAACACUCGGGAGAAUGUUGAUAAAUCUUGGCUCGGGCUUGUUGUCGAACAUCUGACGAGUGUCGCGCGGCUUCGCUUCUUUCUCCAUCAAACAAACUUUGGAUUUUCUCUCCAAACUGUAACAUAAGCGCAGCAAGCAGGGAGGUCGACCACGUGGUUCCAAAGCACGGCAGACGACUAACAUAGUAGUGCUGCGAGGCGAAUUCCCGUGACAGUGACUUGGCAUGCUGGCGCUAUAGGGCAGGUUCAGCGAGUCCUACGGCGAGCUGAGAGCAGCGUCCGAUGACCUGGCAGCUUGCACGGCAACAGGAGUGAGCAACCGAUGGCGAGGUCGAACGAGGUCGAGGAGCACGGCCUCGCGACCAGGCCCAGCUGCAGCGAAAGGGCGACCACAUCUAAGAUAGAAUGAGCGGUUUAAUGACGCGGUUGGGGCGAGUAGGAAGAGAGGCAGAUGAGCUCGACAAGGCACAAGGGCUGAGUGACGGCAUCCGCGACCGCUGCUUCGACAUGAAGUACUUGCUGCCGAAGCAGACGAGCAUGACGGAGGCUGCUGGGGUCUGGGCAUCAAGCCAGCGCAUCACGUGGUUUGGGAACCGCACCACCUACACGAAGCGCUCGUCGCUGAGCUCCAGGCCGC